rnacentral:rRNA from 1 species
AUUCAGUUGGGCACUCUAAUGAGACCUGCCGGUGACAAACCGGAGGAAGGUGGGGAUGACGUCAAGUCCUCAUGGCCCUUAUAGCUGGGGCUACACACGUCAUACAAUGGCCUGGUACAAAAGGGUUGCCAACCCGCGAGGGGGAGCCAAUCCCAUAAAACCAGUCGUAGUCCGGAUCGCAGUCUGCAACUUGGCUGCGUGAAGUCGGAAUCGCUAGUAAUCGUGGAUCAGAAUGUCACGGUGAAUACGUUCCCGGGUCUUGUACACACCGCCCGUCAC